AAUCUGCCCCGGAGUCUGGGAUAGCGUUGGGAAACUGGCGGUAAUACCGGAUAACGUCUUCGGACCAAAGAAUUUCGCUCUGGGAUGAGCCUACGACCUAUUAGCUAGUUGGUGGGGUAAGAGCCUACCAAGGCGACGAUGGGUAGCGGGUGUGAGAGCAUGAUCCGCCUCACUGGGACUGAGACACUGCCCAGACAUCUACGGAUGGCUGCAGUCGAGAAUCUUUGUCAAUGGACGAAAGUCUGGACAAGCGACGCCGCGUGCGGGAUGAAGGCCUUCGGGUUGUAAACCGCUGUCAGAGGGGAGGAAAUUUUGACUGAACCUCAGAGGAAGGACGGGCUAAGUUCGUGCCAGCAGCCGCGGUAAGACGAACCGUCCGAACGU
rnacentral:rRNA from 1 species